AGUUAAGGAUUCAAUCAUACUUGCUAUGAGUUCCGUGCUUGAGGGCGGUCGCUCCCCCUCGGGCGAUGCGCUCCGGAGUUAUGCAUCACGGGUUGGAGUAAACCCGAAGGACGGUCCUAGCGGGUGAGUUCCUGCGAUGAUGGACUUAAUGUGAAGCAAGUCAAUGUGGCGAUACCCCCGGGUUAGCCUUGAGAUUAAAGAACAAAGAGCAAAGAACAAAGUGCAAAGAACAAAGAACAAAGAACAAAGAGUAAAGUGAAAAGAACAAAGAAUUUGCAUAAUCUGCAUUUAUUUAAUGUUGAGCAUAUUUCUGCUUAUUGUUCAGGCAUAUUAGCAUCAUAUAUAGUUUGGUUACUAUUUACAGCCUAUUCUUUCUAUUAUGCCUGAGUUAGUCCUAGUUGGAAAGUCGGUGGGAUUGAGGCCGAACCCACUGGGAACUUUGUUGUAGUUCUCACCCCACUAUUCCACAGAGCCGGGACCCAGCGAGCCGGCGAGCGACCGCGGUAAAGGUAUCGCACCUUAGUCAGAGGCCACCAGAGUUGGGUUACAUUUUUGUAGUAGUUACCCUUUUAUCAUCUUUUGUACUUGAUGAUUAGUGAUGUAAAGAAAGAAUGUAAAGCACCCUUUUGAGCUAAAUGUGAUGUAAGAAAGAAAUGAUGAAAUGAUGGAAUGAAAUGUAAGGAAUUGUAAAUGUACAAGUUGGAUGUAAUGUAUAUGAUCUAAAUUGAAUCAUAGUACAAAAUGAAUGCUAGUUUUCUAUCUUUCACUGGUGGCUAUUGCUUACUCUCGUGUAAGCCAUUUGUGUAUGUUUCCGCUAGUGCUUUUCUCUAUUGAUGAAAAUGUACAUGUGAUGAGCCUUGGGCGGACAGGGGAAACUCUGUCAGUUCGGCGUCUGUUUGACGUGCUCGGGUCGGGCCAAAUUGGUAUCGGUCCCGGGGCGUGACAUAGACCGGUCCCCGAGCACGAAAGUUGCUCAGACAGACUGGGUCAUAUUGGAAGAAUUGAGGGGUCUAAUAGCAAUUGUUGCAUUAGUGGGGGUAUAGAGGGGAGAUCACCCUCUCUCCCUCUCAUUUCCACACCCAAACAUAUCCCUCUCUCUCUCUAAACACUCUCUCUCCCUCUCUCUUGAAGUAAAAAAGGAGAAGAAGGAAAGGAAGGAGAAGAAGAAGACGAAGCAGGGAAGCAAGCUAGAGAAGGCCUUGAUCUUCUUCCUCUUCUUCCUCUCACCAUUGGAGCAAGCUUAGAGGUAAGCUUCCAAGCUCAUUAAUGGUAGAAACCUAGGGUUUGGAUUUUUAGCUCUAGAAUGGGUUUGAUUAGUGUUCUAGCAUGCUUAAUAGAUUCUUAAUGCUAGAAUCUAGGAUUUUGUUGGAGUUGUUUGCACAGAUGCAAACCUAGGGCUCCAAAUUAGGGCUUUGCUUAUUAAUGAGGUUUGAUCUCAAUUGAUAGCAUCUAAACCUAAUUGUUAGGUGUCUAAAUGCGCUAGCGAAGACGGAUUGAGAAUUCGUCGAGCCGGUGAAAAGUUAUCGGCAAAACAAGACCGAUCGAGCUUUGUUUCCACCUAGGAGGUUGAGGCGAUGUAGAAGCAAGUGCCGAAUAGCGUUCUUAGCACCCCAAUAUCGUCGAAAGGUGGGUGGUGUCAUCCCGAAGCAAUAGGGUUCCUCUCUAUGUCUUAGUAUACCAUGAUCUCGCAUCUCUUGCAUGUUGCAUUGUAGGAUUGCAUUGUUUUUCAUUUCUUAUGCUUUCUAAUUGAUGUCAUAGUGUGAGUUGAAUACUUGGUAUUAUGGAUAGGUAAGAAUUGGGUCAUGACAUUGAAUCCUUUGGGCUUCGUUUGGUUCGGGUAUAAGCAAGAACAAGCUAUACCGGGGAUAGGUACAAGAAUGGAUUUUCGUAGGAACAAAGGGUAUUUUUUUAUUUAGAUGAAAAUAUGCGUAUAAGCUGGAAUUAAAAAAAUUAUGUUUGGAUGAAUAUGUGAGUAUAAGGUGGAACAAUUGGUAGUUAUAGAUAAAAAGUAAUGAUUUUUCCCCUAUAAUUGAAUUUAAAAUUUUAAACUUAUAAUUUUAAAUUAAAAAUUUUAACUUUUAAAUUUUAAGAUUUGAAAUUAAAAUCAAAUUUUUUAAUUUUUAAAAUUUAAAUUUUAAAUAUCAAAUUUUAAAUUUAAGAUUAAAUUUAAAUUUGAAAGAUAUAAAAUAUCAAAAUAUAAAAUUUUAAUAAAAAAAAAUUAAAUUUAAAAUUUAAAAAUUAAAAAAUAUCAAAUUANACAAGAGGGCUUGUACCGGGUUGGGGUGGAACAAUUGUUCCACCACCCCCAAAUUUGUGUUUGGGUACAAGAGGGGGGAUAACCCCCUUAUCCCCCCCCUAUUGUACCCAAUCCAAACACACACUUAGUGCCGAGGAAAAGAGAUGGACUCAAUGGUUCCUAGUGACAUAAUGAGUGGCAUGUGGUUGACAAAUGAACAGAACGAGUGGCAUAUAACUUAGUGUAAAGUGACACUAGUGGUUGUGAACUUAGGGAUAGAUAGACUCCCUAGUGAUGACUCGUUAAACAAGAACAUAGUGUAGUUAAACACUUACACAUGGACAUUGGGAUAGGUGGAUUCCCGAGUGAUUUCUAGCCCUAGUUGAUCGGGUAUCCUCGAGUUGAGAGGAUGGAUUAAGCUCACAGUCUAUUUAUACUUGUAGUGGUCACACCACACAAGUCGUCGUGCACUCCGGAGUAUGGUACAAGAGGGGCAGAGUUGAUGUCCCGCAGACAGUCCUGGGUUUGAGAGCGUGGUGAGUCUCCUUACCAUACGGGAUGGGGAGGUGAGUCGUGGGCGAACCCAAGGGAUCGCGAAAGAUUGGAUAACAAGAGAAUAGCACUGUCAUUGAACAUUUGCUUAUUGGACAUUGUAGUGGACAUAGUGGCAUGUUAGUAAACCAUUUACUAUAUGAUGCAUGCUGUAAUAUACCGAAAAUUCGGAAAAUAAAUAUCGAACUUUAGUCAAAUUGACCAAAGUGCGAGGAUGGUACACUUCGGAAAGUCCGAAGGUGUUAAAAUGAUUAAAAGUGAGUUACGGGAGGUUUUCGAGAGCUAAAGAAAAUCAAAUUCUGCAAAACUGCAGAUUUUGAGCUCUCGGGGACCGGUCCCUGGAGGGAGAGACCGGUCCCCAAACGCGUGCAGAAUGAGACAGCCGAAAAAUCGGCUAAGUCCUGGAAGAUCAGCUCUCGGGAACCGGUCUCUGUCUGAGAGACCGGUCCCCCAGAGACCGGUCCCACCAGGGAGAGACCGGUCGCAUUGCGCGCAGCAGCUCUGGCUGCGCAGGGUGGACCUUCGGGAACCGGUCCCUGCUCGGGGAGACCGGUCUCUGCCUGCGGAAACUGCCCAGUCCAGGCAGUGCACAGAGAUAAAAGCUGAGGGGUUUAUUUGCAUUUUGGCAACCCAAUAGCUAUGUAUGAGGGCAAAUGAGAUAUUUCUCUCAUUUCCUCACCCUCUCACACUCUCUUCUCUCCCUCUCUCUCUCUAGAAGACAAAGAAAGAAAAAAAGAAGAUAAAGAAGGAAAGAAGAGAAGAAAGCUGAAGAAGAACAAAGAAAAGAAAGCUCUGUGACGCUCUGGACACCUUUGCAAAUGCAGAGUCUGAGUUUGGUGAUUUCGAGCUUUUCCAACACUUGGUGAGGUUUAGAAUGUUUUCCAACCUAAAAAUUCGAAUAUCGAAAUCUGGACAAGUCUGAAGUUUUCAACUCUCGGGACCGUCCUUGAGAGAGACCGGUCCCCCACGGAGCAGUGUUGUGGCAGACCUGCAGCACCGUCCUGCAGCGAAACCGUCCGAGCGCGUCUCGAUGAAGACCGGUCCCGCGCAGGGAAGACGCGUCCCGAACGCUUGGUACUUUUCGGUUUCGCGCGAGAAGACCGUUCCCUCUGGGGAAGACCGUCCUCUGGCGAAACUGCCGACCGAGGGCUUGCAAUAAUGAAUUUUUUGAGGGCCUCACUGGGGAUUUUCGUUUACAUUAUAUGGUCUUAUUAGCCAUUUCCCUCUCUACCUCUCUCAUUCUGCUCAUUCAUACCUCCCCGCUACCUUUCUAGAGAGAGAAGAAAAGAAGAACGGAGAGGAGAAGAAGAAAGAUAGAUAGUUACAGGGAGCAUUGGAGCUCAAACCCUUUCCUCUCUUCCCAACUUUUGCACGGCUUGAGCUGCUUUACAGCUUAGUGGUGGACCAAACUUCAACCUCAGCAUUUUGGCUUGAUUGAAUCUCAAAUGGUUAUCAUCAUGUUCCCUCCUCUAGAUCUUGUUUUUGUGACUUUUGGGAGAUAAACUCCUAGAAUUGAUCACUAGUAGGGCUUAUUUCGGCAUUAUUGAUCUCAGGCAUUGGACCCAAGAGCUUGUUUGAAACUUCCAGAGCUUGUAUUCGAGGUUCUAUCUCUUUUGAGCUUUGGGAGAGUAUUUCUACUCUUGAGUAUAAUUUGGCCCUCUGCUCCUAGGUUAAAUGUUUGAUCUCCGAAUGCGUAAUGCCCUCGACUCUUACGCUGAACUUUUAGGUAAAUGUGAGCACAUCUGGACAAAUCCGUCGUGAUUCGAGGACUGCAACGCGACGUUCGUUGGUUGCACCCUAAGCACCUUUAUAUGAAAUACUCAUAAUGGUGAAAUAUGUUUCGUAAAUUGAAAAGCCUAAUCAUUUAGAUAUAUAUAUUGAAUUUUAGGAUGUUUAUAUGCUAUUUAUGUAAGAAAAUUUCGGACCAUCCAUAAUAAGAACACAUGGUUACUUGCUACAUAUUUUGCAUCACUUUUUAACAUUGGAAUCAGACUCAUUGUGAAAAAUGACACGGCUCUUGCAUGCAUUUCGGACUAUUGCUAUAUUGAACUUGAAGGUUGUUGGUAGGAGGCCCAUAAGAGGCUCGGACUUGUUUAAUUUGGAAUAUUGGCUAAUGUCAGGAAGGGCAUUGAGCUCGGUCAUGAAACCAGUAAUAGUGCAUUGAAAGAGUUGAUAUCUUGUCAUUAAAAGUUCUAAAGUGUCAUAAAGGGGCACAAGACUUAUGUACUGAACUUCCAUAUUGUUAAUUAAACUGAACUUCGGAUGCUAAGUGACUAUACCCAUGUUAAGACAUGAUAAUGAAACUCGGCGACUUUGACUAUCUUGUUGCCAUUUGUGCUCAUUCGCACAUGCUUGGAGGGUCGCUCCUACAACCGGCCACUCCGGAUUAGCCUACGUGACUUUUGAUCGCUAGUGCGUAUUGGAACGCCUACAUGGGCUCGAGUGGGACAGACACAUUCCAAGAGUAGGAAUGUCGGGCUACCACAGGCACUUAGGCGGCACAAGCUGGACUACCUUGGGUGGGUUCUUGAUUGGAAAUGGGAAUCGACACAGUGUUGAGAAUUAAUAAUCACUACUAGUUAGGUUUAGCAGUUGGAUUACUUUGACAUGCUCAUGAUAUAGCAUUGGUACAUGUAGCACACUUGCCGGUUUCAUUGUUGCAUUGUAGUAUACUCGGUUGCUUGGUUAGAGCUUACUCUUUAUGCAUUAGACAUAUUAUCUUAUGACAGCGUAGAUGUACAUCACCAUGACAUCAUGUUUACUUGAGUUAUAGCGGUUUAGCUCUUCAAUUAUGCUUUCGUAUUGUUGUUGUUAUUACUCUUAUUAUUGCUUAUAGUACUUACCCCUUUUCUUUUGGGGCCUAGUGGUGCAUAGAGCUGAGGUCAGUAAUUGCCCACUGGGAACUAUGAAUUAUAGUUCUCAUGCCCUCUUUUCUCGAUGUUUUUCAGAGCCUUCCACGCAGGGUGAGGCCAGGGAUCGCGGGAAGGGAGUUGCUUCGAGCUAGCUUCCUUCGAGGACGAGUUGCUAGGUGGUCCACCUCUCGAUUUAUGUUUUAUUUUUGCGAGAGGUUGAGUGUUUUACCAGUGUACUAGAGACCACCAUUUUUGUACAUUUGAGUCAGAUAUUGUACUUCUUAUGACUCCUUUUACUGUCUAGCUUUACUUCUUUACCUUGGUAUAGAUGAUAGAUCUAUAUUCGCUCUGAUAUCAUUAGUUACUAGUUAUUUCACUUCUUCUACUUGUUUUAUUACUUGCUUUUACUUCCGCUUUUAUUGUAGACGCCUUAUAUGUGUUGACAUAUGGCGGGUCUGGGCACGCUACCGGGAGGGCCUCCGCUGGUCCCGGGGCGUGACAGCCUCUUCUCUCCUUCUCUAGCUGGAAAAGGAGCAAGUUUAAAGGUAAGCUUUGCCCCUUCUCAUGCUAAAUUCCAAACUAGGGUUUGGAUUAACCUAGAAAUUGUUUUAAUGGAGUAUUUAGAGUCUUUGAAGCUUUCUUUUUGCUUCUUUUGAGAUCAAGACCAUGAAAAUGGUGAAGCUUGAGGUGAGCUUCAUCACCUCUCAUGGUGAAAUCCAAACUAGGAUUUGGAGUGAGCUAGGGAUGGUUCUAAUGGACUAUUUAGAGUNGCUCCACCAAGAUUCUCCUUGUUGGAGAGCUCCUAGGACCUCCAAAGCCUCCAAAUCCUCCUCCUCUUCUCUUCUUCUUCUUCUUCUCCAAGUCCUAGAGCAUGGGUUCUAGAGAGAGAAAGAGAGGAAAUGGGUGAGAGGGUGGAAAUGGCUGUGGAAGAGAGAGGAUGAGUCAUAUAUAGUAUUGUAACAAUUGCACUUAAACCCCUCCACUUGUUUCCACUUGAACUGCCCAGACUGGGCAUUUUUCGCCUUCGGGGACCGGUCUCCCCGACCAGGGACCGGUUCCCGAACGGGGGUUUUCCAGGACUUAGCCAAAUUUUUCGAAUUUUCGGCUGUUGCGCAGCGAGGGACCGGUCUGCCCGUCAGGGACCGGUCUCCCGAGGACCGGUCUCAGCACCAGGGACCGGAUGCCUCAGGAUUUCCUGGCAGGCUACACGCACGGGGACCGGUCUCUCCUUCAGGGACCGGUCCCCGAGAGCUCAAAAUCUGGGACUUAGCCAGAUUUCCAAAUUUGCUCUCCGGGUCCCUUUUUGCUCCGUUUAUGAACUCCAAUGCACUUAGGAUCCAUUCUAACUCGUUCAAUUCCGCGUUCCGCUCGUUGUGACGGAACUCGGCACGACUUACGAGGGAUGUGGAGUGUUACACGAUAAGAGCGAAAAAUAAAAGAAAUUGAAAGUGCGAUGAUCUCUUGUACGCGAAAAGACCUUUUGUGCAGGCAAGUUCUGUUUAUUUAUAAUAAUAUUGCCUGUCGUUAUUCAGUUAAUCUUUAUCGUGGGAGUAUAUUCCGGUGACGUCCCUAUUUUCUCAUAUUGUGCUUUGGCUGUUCAUCCCCACGUCUUUGGCUUCGCCUAAAACUACUUUCUCAAUUCAGGCGUGCUUCUGUCAACUCCAAGCGCAUCAUGUGUGGCUUUGUAUGUGGUUCAUUUGUUUCAUCCACGUGGCUUAACCUGUUCUUCCACAUGGCGCCAUUUUUCUAGGGCCAACAAUGCCCCCCUCCCGAUAGCCACCAAUAACUUUGGUUCCAACACGUAAAACUGCUUUACGGAACUUCCUUUCCAAUUCAUCCCGUUCUCGGACGAAAUUAGUGCUAGACUGGUAUACCAUAUGAACGCCGUAUUAGUUAAUGACGUAUUAAUAAUCGAAGUUUUAAGAAUGAAUCUGCAGCCACUUCUCUACACUGGAGUGUAAAUUAAGCAACAUGUUCCACAGUAUUCAUGGUCUCAUCAUCCAAGAACUUGCCAAACUUCAGUAUUUUCCAAUUUGUCAGGUACAGAUGUUCUUUAUCAAUAUUUGGGAGAAACGGGGAUCUAAAAUACAGGCUGUAUUGCCGGCUUUGCCCUUGCACCAAAUGUGUUUCAGAUCGCUUCCUCUAUCUGAGCAUAUAUCUUAUUAUUUUCUACUGCCGGAGCAGGAACUAGGACAGGAGCCAUAUUUGGCUCUGGAAGAGAAGCGUUGUAAUAUACCGAAAAUUCGAAAAAUAAAUAUCGAACUUUAGUCAAAUUGACCAAAGUGCGAGGAUGGUACACUUCGGAAAGUCCGAAGGUGUUAAAAUGAUUAAAAGUGAGUUACGGGAGGUUUUCGAGAGCUAAAGAAUCAAAUUCUGCAAAACUGCAGAUUUUGAGCUCUCGGGGACCGGUCCCUGGAGGGAGAGACCGGUCCCCGAACGCGUGCAGAAUGAGACAGCCGAAAAAUCGGCUAAGUCCUGGAAGAUCAGCUCUCGGGAACCGGUCUCUGUCUGAGAGACCGGUCCUCCAGAGACCGGUCCCACCAGGGAGAGACCGGUCGCAUUGCGCGCAGCAGCUCUGGCUGCGCAGGGUGGACCUUCGGGAACCGGUCCCUGCUCGGGGAGACCGGUCUCUGCCUGCGAAAACUGCCCAGUCCAGGCAGUGCACAGAGAUAAAAGCUGAGGGGUUUAGCUGCAUUUUGGCAACCCAAUAGCUAUGUAUGAGGGCAAAUGAGAUAUUUCUCUCAUUUCCUCACCCUCUCCCACUCUCAUCUCUCUUUCUCUCUCUAGAAGACAAAGAAUGAGAAGAAGAAGAGAAGGAAAAGAAGGAAAAGAAGAGGAAGAAAGUGAAGAAGAAGACAAGGAGAAGAAGAAAGCCUCUCCUCUCCUUCUCUAGCUGGAAAAGGAGCAAGUUUAAAGGUAAGCUUUGCCCCUUCUCAUGCUAAAUUCCAAACUAGGGUUUGGAUUAACCUAGAAAUGGUUUUAAUGGAGUAUUUAGAGUCUUUGAAGCUUUCUUUUUGCUUCUUUUGAGAUCAAGACCAUGAAAAUGGUGAAGCUUGAGGUGAGCUUCAUCACCUCUCAUGGUGAAAUCCAAACUAGGGUUUGGAGUGAGCUAGGGAUGGUUCUAAUGGACUAUUUAGAGUAUAAUGAAGCUACUUUUGCUUCCCAAUGAGAUCAAACCCUAGGUUUUGUAUAUGCAUUGGAGCUAGGGCACCAAAUUGGGGCUUUUGCUCAUAGGGGUUUCUAAGUACAAUUGACCCUCUAGAAACCUAAUUGGGGGUAUUUCCGACGCGUUGGUGCGCUCGGAAUAGCAUUACGAAAAGUGUAUGUAAAGUUAUAGCCAAAUAAGCCUAAUUCGGCUUCGUUAUGCCACAGAUAGUGAACCGGGUGUCUAAAAAUCCCAAGGAAAUCGUCGGAGCACCUAAAGAGACCUACAAGGUGGGUGGUGCUUCUCAAACUUAUUGAACUUCCCUCUAUGCCUGAUGUGUCAUUCAAUUGAGCAUAUAUAUAUUGUUGCAUGCAUUUAGGGUAAAGUAAUGAUAGAAAAUGUAAUGAUGCAUGGUUGUGAGUACAAUUUGCAUAAUAUGAUGAAUGAGAACUAUGUAAACGUCGAAAACCCUAUGUGUAUGCAUGAGAGAAAAGUGAGCACCCAUAGUGAGCAAAAGAACAGAGCGACACAAUGACAUAGAUUGAGUGGCAUUUGAUAAAGUUAAAGUGAAAUGACACUAGAGAUAGUGUGAGGUAAAGAACCAAUGUAAUGUAAAGAAUGAUGAAAAUGACAACGCUUAAAGUUAAAGUAAUGUGGGGAGUAAAGAACAUGAAGUGCUAGAGGUAGCCAAAAGUAAAGAAUGUAAAGAAUAUAAUUGCUAGAGAUAGCAAGAGUAAAGAAUGGUAAAGAACAACGAUUGCUCGAGUGGCCACAAAAGUGCUGAAUGAACACUAGAGCUAGUGUAAAGUCAAGAUUGAACUUAUAAAUCCUUUGAGUUAAGGAUAUGAUCAUACUUGCUAUGAGUUCCGUGCUCGAGGGCGGUCGCUCCCCCUCGGGCGAUGCGCUCCGGAGUUAUGCAUCACGGGUUGGAGUAAACCCGAAGGACGGUCCUAGCUGGUGAGUUCCUGCGAUGAUGGACUUAAUGUGAAGCAAGUUAAUGUGGCGAAACCCCCGGGUUAGCCUUGAGAUUAAAGAACAAAGAACAAAGAGCAAAGAAUAAAGAACAAA
rnacentral:lncRNA from 1 species